CGCCGUUAGUCCGUGAGGAGAAAAUAGGCCCACUCUGGCACACUCUCUCUGGGUUUAGGUUUAGGUUUUUUUGGGGCUCUCUAUCCUAAGAAACUAGGAGACAUCACACUUCACCAAGUCUACUUAUCGACAAUUUUAUCGUAUCACCAUAACGACAAUAAGGGCCGGACUAAUGUUUGUACACAUGUCCUCUCCUUUUACCCUU